UAUUUCUGAAACUGAAAUUUUAAACCGGGACAAAUAGGAGACCGUAUGUUGGACAUUGCCCUUGAUGGUGUGUCCAGGUUUUAGACUUUAGAUAGUUGAUGAGUUUGAGUCCAAGUACUAUUUGCAUGAAAGGAAACUAAGACAUGAUUAGGAUAGGUCGAAUAAAUAAUCUACGUGACCAGCUAUAUACGUAAGCCAUCUGAAAAUUUAUAUCGGGUAAGUCAAUUUUCUGGGUCAUUCGAUAUAGAUCCAAUGGCCAUCCUUCUUUCUUCGCCCUCCAGCAUUCUUUCUCGUCCAACAGUUCAUCCUUCCACAAAAUCGAUUUAUCAAAAUUACAAAUUUUGUCAACUCACAUAUAGCUAUUGUGAUAAUCUAUCUAUGCAAUAUCGAAGCAACAUAAUUUUUAUGGUUCAUAUUGUACAAAGCUAAUGGAUAGUUAAGAUAUAAACAUGAUUCUAAGAUUAAAAAAAAACAUCCCUGCAAAAAAACAUUAAAAAAUGCCUUCACUAAAGAUGGAGGGUUCAAUAUAAUUUAGAGAAGCUUUCAGAUCAAAAAUAAAAUCAUUACGGAAGGUAAGAUAAAACAAUAUAUACCGACUUGAAUUAAGAUUUGGUAUAUUAGCAAACUAACAAACAUUAACUACUUAAAAGGUCACCAGAUAUUAAAGACAAAGACUCAAUAUAUGAACACAUAAUGCAUAUUCUGAUUUUGAAGUGACAAAAUGCUUGGAGAUGCUCGAAACCUAAGAACUCUAGAAGACAAAGAAAUGUAGUAUAAUAUUAUAUUCUAAAAGUAGCUAAUGUGUCCUUAAAAAUGUAGAAAAUCUACAAAAAUUCUACAAUAAUUAGAAACACAAGUCGCUAACCCAUGCAUUUGCAUGGGAUAAUUUAUAGCACAACGACCAUAAAAAAGGUUAAAUUUUGACAAAUUGUAUGGCACCCUAUGUCUUGGUAGUGAGGGCAAUUUUGACUUUUAGUUCAAAUCAAACUGCACCAGACCGCAUACCAAAUUUACUGUGUUGUCACUCCAACCUCCUCCCGCCUUGUCGUGACCUCCUCUCGUGUUGCGGGUGCCUUCCACCAGCACCCAAUUGUCCAGCCAUCGGCGUCUCCUUGUCAAGUGUGGCAUCCUUCCUUCGUCCGGUCGCCCCCUCUUGCCAUCCCCUCCCUUCUCAUCGCACGUAGGGCCGCCUCCUCCUCCAACCGCCAAAGCCUCCCUAUGGGUCGUGGGGGAGCGACACCCUGGUCGGGCAACGUUGUCGGCUCAUCACAUGAGGCUAAGAUGAUUUAGGCGCCGUCAUACUCGAGGUUUAUGGCUGCAUCACCACUUGUUGUCGACCGCCCAAUCAGGGCCUCGUGGCCUCUAUAUCAUAGUGUAUAUUUCGUAAGCACAAGUUGAUUGGUGUUUGUAUAGUGUAUACGAAGUCUUCUUUUAUGGUGGUGAAAAGUGCUCCGAUCAACUGCCAUUUUGUUGUAUUGACAUGGUUGUUCUAGAAAAGUUUAUUGCUCUUGUAGUCUCCAAAUCUAUGUAUUCAGGGCAUCUCAUAUGUUUUCAAAUUAUACAAUGACUUUACUAUUAAAUUAAUAUGUUCAUAUAAGAUACAUUAUUUGUAGAUUAUGUCAUCUCACACACAUAUAUCUGCUAAUUCUUGUUCUGGAAGUAGGAUUAGUAUAGUUCUCAUAGUGAAAACUUAUCACUCUAAAUGUAUAUUCAAGUUGAUCUUUCUGCUGUGACGGUUCACUAUUUGAUGUCGAAGUCAUGGAUGUAGAUUCUAUAGGAUGACGUGAGGCCCCGAUGGUCAGCCAGGGCGUAGCCAGGAUAAAACAUGAGAGGGGGCAAAGAUGUGUAGAUAUUUUUUUUCGAGGAGAUGUGUAGGAACUAAUUGUUAUGUCAUUUCUAAAAACUGACCACACAAACAUAUAUAUAGUGUCGAAAAAGCAGAGUCGUAUCUUCUUAUAAGAUAAUUCCAUCACACACAUAAUUAUGAUAAGUUUAUCAUCAAAGUAAAAUUAAACUAACCAUUUAAGAAAACGGUGACUUGAGAAAUAUCAAUAGAUCUUUCCUAAUAUUCUUGAAUAUAUUUUUUCCAGCCUGCAAGUUAUAAGAAAACGAACAUGUUAAAAUCUAGGGAGAAUGUAAACAUUUGUAAAUAGAUAAAUGCCCUUGAGCACAUUACCUCCUCUUCCGUUUCAUCCCAGGACGAUUUUUUCCAUGGAAGCGUUUAGCUUUCUCCUAAUUGAGCCAUGCUGAUUGUAAUUGAAAUAUGUAAUUUUUUUAAUGGAUCCUGAACAAGCUUGUUGAAAACAAUAGUUCAUGCAUGUUGGUAAAUAAAUAAAUCUCUCGAAUAGCUUUCCCUACUAUGAAUGUGAAAGAGUUGAAACCUUAGUUAAAGAUAUAAAUCUCCUGCAGAUUUUAUUCUACUCUAACAUACUUCAAACUUAUUUUAUACUCACUCCGUUCUAAAUAUUUGUCUUUCUAGAGAUUUCAAUAAGUAAUUACAUACGGAGCAAAAAGAGUGAAUCUACACUUUAAAAUAUGUCUAUAUACAUCUGUAUGUGGUAGUCCAUUUGAAAUCUAUAAAAAAACAAAUACUCCCUCCGUCCGGAAAUACUUGUCAUUAAAAUGGAUAAAAAAGAAUGUAUCUAGAACUAAAAUACAUCUAGAUACAUCUCCCUUUAUCCAUUUUGAUGACAAGUAUUUUCGGACGAAGGGAGUAUUUAAGAACGGAGGAAGUACAAAAUUAUUAAGCAAAUCUUGAUUUUGAUGAUGCUUUGAGAAAGCUCACUCACUUUCUAACAUGAAAAAUAGGGAAAGAACAAAAUAUUAGAUAUUGGAACGACAGUAAAGUAAAGAUGAUAUCAUGAUUCAUGAACUGACGCUAGGGUUUAUCUCCAUUGAUCAACGGCAAGCAGCGUCACACUAACCUUCCAAAUUCCAAAGGUCCGG
rnacentral:lncRNA from 1 species